rnacentral:tRNA from 2 species
GCCCCUGUAGCUCAGAGGAUAGAGCAGCGGUUUCCUAAACCGCGUGUCGUGAGUUCGACUCUCACCAGGGGUACCA